rnacentral:lncRNA from 1 species
GUGGAAAUUUGGGUGGAGUCCAUCCAUCAUGAAGAAUCCUAUCGACGCUAGUGGAGGCUUAUCCGUCAGCAAAACUUGGGAGUGUUGCGAAGGCUAGGCUGCCUGGGGGGUUUGAAGAGACGUCGUUGGAGGUCGGAAGUCGGUUGGAUCCCCGGAGGGUCACUCCUGUCAUGAAUUUCGGCUGGGGGGUAUUUUAUACCCAACACCAGUCCCCCUACUUUCGAGUUUGAAUUUCGAAUGAAGUAAGUACAAAAAAAAUUUUGCAGCCGAAGUUGUCCCCUUGAAUCCUGUGCACGAUCACCCUCAGAUAUUUUGGCAUUAAAUGAGUGCGUGCUGGAGUCUUUUUGAAUCGGGGUGAUUCGAAGGGACCUUUCAGAAUUCCCUCUGGUAUGCUGGCCCAAGCACGGUGCAGUAAUGGCUCUGUCAGUUGUCAGCCACUUUUAGCCGCCUAUCAUGGUGAGUGGGACACGUGGCGCGUGUGGGUCGGCCUGGGGAGAUCCACGAUCAUUAUAGUGUCGGAUCUCAGGGUCUAUUUAAACCCGCCUUUUCGCCUUUAGAGGCCUCAUUCCACCUGAAAGUUUCAUUGGUGUCUGCCUUUUCUCCGAAAGCUCUGACCCC